UAUAAGGCCAUGGUAAAAUGGUGAAAGACAAAGUACAGCUACAUUAAGUAUUUAAAGAUAGAAAUGUUUGUCUUCCUACAGAAUGGCAGAUCUAGGCUGGACACUCAUGGCUCUUUUUUAACAAACCUAAUGCAAUGGUAAAUCUAAGUGCUGGCAGUAGCGCUAUACGUCCGGGGAUGUGUCAGAAAUAUUUUAGCUAUUUUCACAGCUGGAAUUACAAGCACAAUAGCUGCAGGUGGCCCGAAAGACCUGGGUUUUGAUUUAAAAAAAAUCUGAAUGAUUAAAUACUAACAGUGAUUCUUGAAGCACUAUCGUUGAAACCAUCAACACUUGUGGCCAAUGCAUUUACCCAGUGUGCCAAACUGAAUGCACGUUCUCUGCUUUACACUCAGUUUGUAAUUUUAUAACAAACUUUUUGCUAAACUGUAAACACACCUCACUGCUUUACACUCAGUUUGCAAUUUAAUAACAUACUUCUGGCAAAACUGGUACACAAUUUUGCCAAUUGCCUUUCCACAUUGACACAUGUGAAAACACUUUUAGAUAAUGAGUUCAUGUACAAAUCAGAGCUUGAACACUAUAAAUAGGCCACAGGGAAACAUUUGGUUUGGACAGCAAUGGAGGCCAAUUUUGGACAGAGAGUAAGAGGGGUGCGAACUUGAGGAGGACGAGAAGGAGGAAGAGGAGGUCAAGAAGUAAGAGGAGGAUGAGGAUGAGAAGGAAGAAGUGAAGUAGGAUGGGGGAGAAGGAGAGGACGGGAGUGGAAGGGGAGUCAGGAACACAAUAACUGAUGAAAUCAUUAUUGUCAACCAUGGGAUGAGCAUGAGGGAGGCUGGGCAACGGGUUCAACCAAAUCUGAGCCGCUAUACUGUUGCAGGUAUCAUCCGGAUAUUUUGAAAUGAGAACCGGUAAGUAACCGUAAGUGCUGUAGUCUUACUGGUACAGUGAUUUGUACUGUACUUUCAUAAUGUGAAGGAUCUAUCACUAAAACCAUUCAAAUGUUUUCAUAGAACUGCAAGAAAACCAGUAUCUGGUGGAAGAGGUCAACUGUUCACUCCAGAGUACGAGACCCACAUUGUAAAUAUGGUCAUUGCAAAUAUAACUACAUUCAGACUCAGAGAAAUGCAGGACCACAUAAUGGUAGAUAACACCAUAUUCCAAAACGUCAACAGAAGAGUCAUGGAGCUAGAAGCAGAUGCAGUGCAUCAUGAGCUAAUAUAUGUGGACGAGGCAGGUUUCAACCUUGCAAAAACAAGGGGACGUGGCAGAAAUAUCAUUGGACACCGUGCCAUCAUCAACAUCCUGGGACAACGUGGUGGCAACAUAACAAUGUGUGUGGCUAUUAGUCAAAAUGGCAUCCUUCACCAUCAUGCAAUCCUAGGCCCAUACAACACUGCACACAUUAUCACAUUUCUGGACACCCUCCACAACAGACUAAUCCCUAAUAACCAGGGGCCAGAGCAGCCCAGGUACGUUAUCAUCUGGGACAAUGUUAGUUUCACUGGGCUGCUGUGGUCCGCAAUUGGUUCACAGGUCACCCACUUUUCAUCGCACUCUAUCUCCCCCCAUACACUCCGUUCUUGAAUCCUAUUGAAGAAUUCUUCUCUGUAUGGAGUUGGAAGGUGUAUGAUCGCCAGCCCCACCAACGCAUACCCCUUCUACAGGCAAUGGAGGAGGCUUGUGGAGACAUCGAUCAGAGGUCAUGCCAGGCCUGGAUACGGCACUCCAGGCGAUACUUUCCACGCUGCCUAACUCAAGACAACAUUGCAUGUGAUGUGGGUGAAAUCGUAUGGCCAGACCCACAAAGAAGGCUAGAUGCAGCCUAAUCUUUUUCAGUUAUUUUUUUUCUAGCACAAAUGUUUUUGUUUUCUCCUACUGCGCUUUUGUUGUUUC
rnacentral:lncRNA from 1 species